rnacentral:tRNA from 1 species
GCCUAGGUGGCUCAGUUGGUUAAGCGUCUGAUUUUGGCUCAGGUCAUGAUCUCACAUUCAUGAGUUCAAGUCCCACAUUGGGCU